rnacentral:rRNA from 1 species
UGGGGAAUAUUGCACAAUGGGCGAAAGCCUGAUGCAGCAACGCCGCGUGAGGGACGACGGCCUUCGGGUUGUAAACCUCUUUUAGCAAGGAAGAAGCGAAAGUGACGGUACUUGCAGAAAAAGCGCCGGCUAACUACGUGCCAGCAGCCGCGGUAAUACGUAGGGCGCAAGCGUUAUCCGGAAUUAUUGGGCGUAAAGAGCUCGUAGGCGGUUUGUCGCGUCUGCUGUGAAAACCCGAGGCUCAACCUCGGGCCUGCAGUGGGUACGGGCAGACUAGAGUGCGGUAGGGGAGAUUGGAACUCCUGGUGUAGCGGUGGAAUGCGCAGAUAUCAGGAAGAACACCGAUGGCGAAGGCAGAUCUCUGGGCCGUAACUGACGCUGAGGAGCGAAAGGGUGGGGAGCAAAACAGGCUUAGAUACCCUGGUAGUCCACCCCGUAAACGUUGGGAACUAGUUGUGGGGUCCAUUCCACGGAUUCCGUGACGCAGCUAACGCAUUAAGUU